CAGAGGCAAUUUCUGAUGGAUGGCACAGUGCUGUUUGACAGAAAAAUCCUGCAUGGGAUCCGAACUGUUCCCUCACCUUUCUCAAUCACCGGAAAACAAAUUGGAAAAGUGGAAAUAGCAAGGUCAGGUCAGAUGAACUAAAUGCCUGCAUUUGGUAUUUAAGAUACCACAUUAAAAGUGACUGCGAACAUAACAAACAUAAGCAGUGUUACCAGAAGUUGGCACGGCGAAGCCAAUAAACAAGCCUGACUGUAGGAAAUUGCAUCCUCAGAAAUGUGGGGAAAGAACCUUGAUCAUCGUAUCCAAACACCCCACGUUAGAUGUGAAAAUAAGAAAAUCCCGUGGUUCUGUCAACGCGUUUUCCAGGAAUUCAGCAGGCACCGGGUGGUCUCGCCGACACCGCGCGUGGGCUGCGCGGCCCCUUGCACCAGACGACGAGUGCGUCCCCGCCGGUGAGAAGCAGCAGGGCGCUUUGGUGGCUGCGGAAAAUGGGGGUGCUCCCACCUUCGCUGCGCACACAAUGCUUCAUGUCUCGCUGCUCCCUUGAACAGAGCCGACCUGGCAGCGGGGGAGAUGCGUUCCGCAGGGGCAGCGUGGGGAACGGGGCCAGAAGAGGACGGGAGGUACCGAACACGCCGGGGAAGGGAGCGGGGCUGGGAGCGCUGGGGAAUGGCACUGCUGCCUAGGAGACCCCGCUUCUGUGUCACCAAAUUAAGUUAUUUCACCGCCAUUGGGGCUGAAAGACCUGGUCAUCUCUUUUGGAGAAAAUGUGGUCAUCUCAGUGGUUUUGUGAAAUCUCGAUGUUUCCAGCACAACAAGGCACUAUUAUUUCAGUGUUACACAGCCUUUUGAGAAACCAUACAUUUUUGGACUUGAAGUCUUGCUAAGGUGUAAAUAUUAAAGCUAUGUUCAUUUACACCAGCUGAGAUAGAUAGAUAGAUUUAUUUAUUUAUUUAUUUAUUUCAAACUAGCAGCACAUUUAAUUCGAGUAUCCUGACAGGAGAACUGAAGUUUAUCCUUACAAUUCUUAUUUUUGUAGUCACUGUUAUUUCUUGGCGCUCUCUGUACUUGAAGAAACAAUA